UAAUCAAACUAGCGGUUAUUUACAAUCACGGUGCUAAUUCAUUAUCAUGGUUAAUUUGAUAUAAUAGAAAGAUUAAUUAUGGAAUGCUAAUUAGCUGUUUAUAUUUUUAACAUCUAAACGAGCAUUACUUUUCUUAAGUUCCGAUGCAGUUAAUACAAUAGUGAUAAUUACAAUUUGGUACACCUAGAAGAGACAUACCUAUUGGAUGACCCUAAACAGUGUGAAAAACUACCUACUGAUGAAAUGUAAGUACCUAUAAGACUACGAAGCUAAAGACCUUUGGUGUCGUUUUAACUUAUGGCAUUAAUUUUGGAUUAAGAUUUGACAGACUCCUUUGCUAUUUUAUUUCAAAAUUUUAUAUAGGAGAUAAGCUGCCACAAAUAGUGAUGUAUUACGUUAAAACCUGGCACAUGACAUAAUUAGGUAUCAUCAUUGUUUAAAAACAAUGGCAUCACCUAUAAUGUUAGAACCAGACACACUAUCAGAAUGGGUAAGUCGUUACUAUAGGAGAUCAGGUCUGUAUAACCAGACGGGAUUCAACACUACCUAGAACCUUAGUGCUAGAACCAUUGACUAAAAAUAGUGUAGAGAGAGUGUAGGUACUCAGAGGCAAAAUGGUCUCAAACCUACAUACUGGUUGUACCAAACCUACUGCGCGGCAGGAGGUGGGAGACAAAAAUACAUGUACAGCAUUAUAUCAAUCUCUAGAGGUUUAAAUUAUGGAACUGGGAUUGAAAUUGAACUGCCGGUGUCGUUGGUAGGUCCUGUGUGGUCAUUGGGAAAAAUUAUGGUCUUGAACAUGCCGAUCGGAAGGCCAAAAUGAGAAAGUAUAUAAAGGAAAAACAAGAGUAAAGGAGAAUCGAAGUAAAAUUAGAUCUUAACAUUGCAGUCAAAUACGUUGCAUUGCUCAUAGAGGCGUGUCAGCCUAGUUUUAGUUCUAAUUUCGGUUGCGGAUAGCCUUUCAGCCUAUUUUAGACCAAGGGAUGGUACGGCAGACUAUUUAAAACCUUGAGUGUUGUUUUAGGUAAAAAAUCCAGUAAAAAAUCGCUUAUAAAUGCUUUUACAGCUGUUUUGUGCCUACAAGUUUCUCAGCAUGAUCCUGACAACGAUUUCCUCCUUUACCUCAAUCAUCUUGGCAGUUUAAGCCCUGACGGUUUGUUGAGUUCGGCGUUCUGUUCAGCUCCUUCCCAAUUGGCGUUUGUAAUUAUCUCUUUCUGGAGACGCACCUCUUCGCUCCUUUUUGUAGGAAAUAAAAUGCUUAUAGGAUAAUGGUCAUCAUGUUGAAAAUCGUCAUUUUCGUUUUUUUGUUGGCAACAGAAUCCUCAACCAAGUCUCCGCAAACAGCAGUUAGUGGAAUACCAAUUUCCAGUGGGAGAUAAUCAACACCAUUUUCCAUAAGUAGAGGAGCAAACAACAGACUCAAACUAACAUCUAUGUAGAGCUUCGAAAGCAACUCUAAUGAUGGAGUACGAAUGCCUAUCAACGCUUGUGAUUUCGAUUCAUUGAAAUGCUGCAACAUUUGUUGGGUUUGUGCAUAGAGCUUUGAAUAUAGACUACGGAUGUGAAGGCAGCUCUUCUUUUCCUGAACCGUAUCAAGACAAAUGAGACUCACUCCAUAUGGUUCGCAUAAUCGAAGACGUAGAGUAUAAAAGGGAAACUGGGAAAGCACAAUCAUUGAAUCAAUGGCACAAUAUUAUUUUGGCUGAUUAUAUGGAGAUUUGAAAUCAUAGUUUCCUACGAGAGAGCGUCAUUAAUGAAGUCGAUCCACUAGAUUAGGCCAUUGAGGGAAAAUUGCCCCUUCAAAUGGGAGAAAAACUUUGGUCCGGCUGGUGGGAGGUCUUUUCUACAUCCAUAUUUAGUUCAUAUUUUGUAUGUACAUACUUUCAAUGCACAUUAUUAAAAGAAGUAAACAUAAUUAUGCCUUAACGUGCCUACAUUUAUUAAUAAAGGUGUCCUUUGACGAACAUAUAUUUUACAACCCAUAUCGGUACCUAGACGAAGCGUAGGUGCCUACCAUCUGACGAAUAAGCUGU